UACAGAGGUCCCAAGCGUUGUUCGGAAUUACUGGGCGUAAAGGGCUCGGAGGCGGCCAACUAAGUCAGACGUGAAAUCCCUCGGCUUAACCGGGGAACUGCGUCUGAUACUGGAUGGCUUGAGAUUGGGAGAGGGAUGCGGAAUUCCAGGUGUAGCGGUGAAAUGCGUAGAUAUCUGGAGGAACACCGGUGGCGAAGGCGGCAUCCUGGACCAACACUGACGCUGAGUGAGCGAAAGCCAGGGGAGCAAACGGG
rnacentral:rRNA from 1 species